UUUACAUAUAUAUAUAUAUACGUUUUUUCUUUUUGAUACCAGGUCUCACACUGUCACCCAGGCUGGAGUACAGUGGCACAACCUCUGCUCACUGCAGCCUCCACCUGCCAGGCUCAAGCAAUUCUCCUGCCUCAGCCUCCCGAGUAGCUGGGAUUACAGGUAAGUGCCACCACACCCAGCUGAUUUUUGUGUUUUUUGUAGAGACGAGGUUUCGCCGUGUUUCCCAGACUGUUCUCAAACUCCUGAGCUCAAAGCAGUCCACCCACCUUGGCCUCCCAGAGUGCUGGGAUUACAGUUGAAGCAUAUGUCCUGCGAGCUUAGGGGUGCUACAAGUUGACCACUGCAGCAGUAAAGAUGACUCUGAAGAAUGGCGUGGGAUGGAUCCUUUCAAAUGCACUUGAGCAGCGGUCUCCAACCACAGGGCCACAGAGCUGGAGAUGGACAGUCUAGUUGCAGGAAAACAAGCUCAGAGAUCCCACUGAGUCUACGUUAUAGUGAGUUGUAGAAUCAUUUCAUUAUAUAUUACUAUGUAGUAAUAAUAGAAAUAAAGUGCACAAUAUAUGUAAUGCACUUGAAUCAUCCUGAAAUUAUUCCCUCACUCCCAGUCUGUGGAAAAAUUGUCUUCCACACAUUCACUCUGUUUUUUGGUAGAGGCAGGGUCUUAAUAUAUUGCCCAGGCUGAUCUCAAACUCCUGGCCUCAAGUAAUAUACCUCUCUCAGCCUCCCAAAGUGCUGAGAUUACAGGCAUAAGCCACCACCCUCAACCAAGACUUUCUUAAACCAAAUAAAAAUUAAGUGAGAUUACUUGAGCCCAGGUG